GCCGAAGUGGUGGAAUUGGUAGACACGCUAUCUUGAGGGGGUAGUGACCAAAAGUCGUGCGAGUUCGAGUCUCGCCUUCGGCACCA
rnacentral:tRNA from 1 species